rnacentral:rRNA from 1 species
UACGGAGGGUGCAAGCGUUAUCCGGAUUUACUGGGUUUAAAGGGUGCGUAGGUGGGUCUGUAAGUCAGUGGUGAAAUCUCCGGGCUUAACCCGGAAAUUGCCAUUGAUACUAUAGGUCUUGAAUCAUCUGGAGGUAAGCGGAAUAUGUCAUGUAGCGGUGAAAUGCUUAGAUAUGACAUAGAACACCCAUUGCGAAGGCAGCUCACUACGGGAAUAUUGACACUGAGGCACGAAAGCGUGGGGAUCAAACAGG